AUUGCCUCAGUAACGGCGAGUGAAGCGGCAAAAGCUCAAAUUUGAAAUCUGGCUCUUUUAGGGUCCGAGUUGUAAUUUGUAGAAGAUGUUUCGGGUGUGGCUCCGGUUUAAGUUCUUUGGAAUAUUACAUCAUAGAGGGUGAGAAUCCCGUAUGUGACCGGCAGCCUUCGCCUAUGUGAAACUCUUUCGACGAGUCGAGUUGUUUGGGAAUGCAGCUCAAAAUGGGAGGUAUAUUUCUUCUAAAGCUAAAUAUUGGCCAGAGACCGAUAGCGCACAAGUAGAGUGAUCGAAAGAUGAAAAGCACUUUGGAAAGAGAGUUAAACAGUACGUGAAAUUGUUGAAAGGGAAGCGCUUGCAACCAGACUUGCACGCAGUUGAUCAUCCGGUGUUCUCACCGGGGCACUCUGCUGCGUUCAGGCCAGCAUCGGUUUUGGUGGUUGGAUAAAGGCCUUGGGAAUGUGGCUUCCUUCGGGGAGUGUUAUAGCCCUCGGUGCAAUGCAGCCUACCGGGACCGAGGACCGCGCUUCGGCUAGGAUGCUGGCGUAAUGGUUGUAAGCGACCCGUCUUGAAACACGGACCAAGGAGUCUAACAUCUAUGCGAGUGUUUGGGUGUUAAACCCAUACGCGUAAUGAAAGUGAACGGAGGUGAGAACCCUUAAGGGUGCAUCAUCGACCGGUCCUGAUGUCUUCGGAUGGAUCUGAGUAAGAGCAUAGCUGUUGGGACCCGAAAGAUGGUGAACUAUGCGUGAAUAGGGUGAAGCCAGAGGAAACUCUGGUGGAGGCUCGCAGCGGUUCUGACGUGCAAAUCGAUCGUCAAAUUUGCGCAUAGGGGCGAAAGACUUAUCGAACCAUUGAACACCUACUAGGUGGUUAAGAGGCCUUAGUACGGCCUAGUCCUCACCGAGGGCGACAUUGUCAAAUUGUUCGGGGACCUCCUGAUAACUCUCAGACUACCGCAGCCCGCCCGAAAGGGGGGUGCGCACCGGGCUAACGACCCUGGGGAUGGUAACAACGUCUGGGUAGGGAAGAUCCGCAGCCAAGUCCUACCGCCCUCCGGGGCCACGGAUGCAGUUCACAGACUUGAAGGCAGUGGGCUCCCCCGGGAGCUUAAGAUAAAGUCGAACCCCCCGGAGACGGGGUGGAGGGAGGAGAGUGCGUCGCACUCAGAGUCCUUCAGGGCCCACGGUCCCGAGCAG
rnacentral:rRNA from 1 species